GCGCGCUGCGGCCCCCUCAGGGCUGGCUCUUAAAGAGCACCGGAGGCCUCGGGGGGGCCCGCGAGGUCCGGGGGGUCGGGGGGCCCGUGGUGCUGUCCGGCGCGGCUGCCCUGAGGCGGGCUGGGGCGCGAGGCGCCCUGCUUCUCUGGGGGAGCCUCGCGCCAUGGCGGCCCUGGUUUGGCGUCGUGGUGGCCGCCAGGCCCGCGACCUCGUGUGACGGCCGCCAGCCUGCAGGCAGGUCUCACCGCACCAGGCCGCAGCGCCCGCCUCACCACGCGACGCCUCGCCCCGCCACACGACGCCAUCUCGCCCUGCCACACGACGCCAUCUUGCCCCCGAGGCCGCCCGGGGGUGCCGGCGGGCGAGGCAGCCGCGAGGGUUGGCCCAGAGCAACCAGCAUCGUCGCGUCCUCCCUUCGGCGCUUCCCCAGCAGCGGGCGCGUUGGACUCGCGGCCUUCCCCUCGGAGCGGCCCUGAGCAGGGAGGGGACUUGACCUAACGUUCGUCCCAAGGCUGUUUGCUUUUGAUUUUGGACGGCCGUGGAGCCUGGAGGCACUUCCUUCCUGUGCUAGGUCUACUGCGCUGUUGUUGUUUUGAAGGCUACGUGCAGUAUUUGCAGGACAUUGAAUUUUCUCACUUUAUUGGAAUCAACCAGGGAAAAGAGACCAGUCUGGGUUUUGCUGGUAGUGCCUGUGCUGUAUCAGCCAUGAACGAGCUAUUAUGUACUUCCUAGUUUAUUUAACAUUUGGUAGCAUGACAAUAAAACACCUGUGUUUUAAAUGUAGCAAUGGAUGGUUUAUUUUUCGACCAGAUUUUUGCUAACCUGGUAUUAUUCAAAAGUUCCUAUAAGAGUUUGUUCUAUGGAAUCUGAGGUCUUAAUCCUAUGAAGAUCUGCAUGUGUCUUUAACCUGAAAUACCUGAGAGGUCUCAUUUGGUUGUAAAAAUUGGUGUAACUUUUCAAGAGGAAACCCUAAAUAUUUAAAGCUUUGUAAUGCUAAACCUAAAUAUUUAAACCUUUGUGGUGAUGUCUGUCAUUUUCAUGUUUUCCAAUAGUCAACACACUCAAAAUGUUAGCAAGAUUUAGGCCUAUGAAGAAAAAAUGUAGAACUAUGGAUAAGAUACAUAUUGUUGCCAUUUUUAUUGGGAAUGAGUCAAACAUUGCUAGCACCUACAAAUAGCUGAUAGGAGCAAUGUAUUCCUUUCUCUUUAUUAUUUAAAUGAUCUAACUGCUAAUUAAAACUUUGUCUUAAAGAGCAAUCUCCAUUUCCUGGGUUUAUUUGAUGUGCACAAUUGACAUGUGGUAUUGAACAGCAGCUGCGUUUCAAUGGUGAAUGAAGUGAUUCUUAUGUAAACACCAUCGCUCAUCUGGCUGAAAACAUUGGAUACAUAAUAUCAGGAUUAAUUUAUGAAAUCCUCUCAAGUAUUUCUUUAGAAGUGGCUGCAUUCCAGUGUUGGUGAAAUAAUUAAUCUAUGUUAUAACUUAAUAAUUUAUAAAUAAUACUUUACACUUAUACUUGAGGAUGAAGAUUAUUUUAUAAAAUAAUUUUAGUUAAUAUGUCAUUUCAUUAUGUUUCUUAGAGAAUUUGGGAUUCUUUAUGACUAAAGAUAUUAUGUGGAAAAUGAGCUCGAUGUGAUAUUUAAUAAGUGUUUGAAAAGUACUUCUAUCCUUAGAUAGCUACAGAUGAGAAGUGUGAAUAUUUUAAUGGGCACAAAAUAUAGUGACAAUGAAAGAUUUUAUAUGACUUAAUUAGUAUUUACAUUGGUUUUGAUUCUUGGAUAGCUAGAAAUUCUAAAUGUAGGGCUACCCUUUAUCAAGGUUCCCCUUGGAUAUAUCCACUACUGUGCUGACUAGACCGCAAGACAUGCGGACCUUCUGCAUAAAUGACCAUUGUGCACGCACAGAUUUCUCAAAUGCAUAUGUGUAGCUACAUGGAGGCGUUGUAGAUGGGCAGUUCAUUUAGCACUGGAAAUGCACAUAUUUCUGAGAGGGAUUUUCUAAAAAGAUAGAAAAUGAAGGGGAAAAAAAAAGAAAGAAUGCAAGUGCCCUGUUAGAAUAUAAAUAUUUAUAAAUGACCUAAACAAUUGGUACCAAUGUUGAGAAAUCUGACUAUUCAGAAGUCAGGAGGAGGAUCUUAAAAGACGAGGCUGGCUUAUAAAUCAAGAGUCUGAGAAUAACAGACUUGGGUUUUGUUUGACCUCUGGUUUCUGAGACGUUAUGGUGCACUGCAUUCACAUUUUCAGGCUUAAGGAUCGAAAGUGUGUUGGGGAGGUUGUUUGUUUGUUCUAAUUAAACCUAUAUUGUCACAUAAUCAUGACUCCAAAACCUUAGGCAUUCAGAAAAACUCCAUAUGCUGUGAAACUUCUAGUUAAUAUCACAACACUUGACAAAACUGUUGUUAUAACUUCUUAGUGCUAUAUUGUAUAUGUCUAUAGUAUUUUAUAAAAUGAAAAUUUUAUAGAACUUGGUCAGAGCAUACUAACAGGAAUGAACAGCUCUAUUUUGUUGCAUGUUCCUCCUAAGUAAAUUAAGGAGCUGAUGGAAAUAUUCGAGUUCUCAAUAUGCAACUGAAAAUGCAUUCAGGCCAAUAAACCAAAUAUUUUGUUAAAAAUAGAUCUUGUCAUUAAAACAGUGUAAGAAAAUUGUAUGCUAUUGAAAUCUGUGCCUGAUAGGUUUGCUUAAGUUGAUAUUAUGGCCUGCCAGCUGAGAGGAUGACAAUGAGCAUGGACCAUUUAGACCUAGAUCAACACCGGUAUAUAUGUUCUGUAGACAUAUCUCAGCCCUUUCUAUGAAUAGGGCAAUUGAACUAGUGCAGCACAUUUUCUGGCUUGUUCAGACCUGACUUACUUUUGACUCUAAAUGAACCGUAUAUGUAUUAAUGUGGUGAAAGAAGAGACUGCAUAAUAUGUAGAUAAUGUGGUGAUGAGUAGUGUAGGAACAGACCUAGAUAAAUGCAUGGAUAAGGCAGGGAAAAGAUAAGAUUGUUCCACUGUGUAUUGUUUUUGAAUUGCUUUUUAAUUUGCCCCUGGAGUCCCCAUAUUAUAAUCUGCUGCACAAUUCUGCAUGAGACUGUUCGUUUUUAAACACUGACAUUUAAAAAAGAAACCACAGAACUCCUUUCACAUGCAGGCUGCAGUUCAAUGAACUGGAUGAAUGAUCUUUCCACAUACCCACGGGCAUGCACAGCUGAAUAUAGAUCAUCCAGGAAACCUGCCACCCUACACACUGAGAUCUGGGCACUCCUUCCUCUGUUUGGGCUCUGGUUCUGUUCAGAGAAUUACAGUUGCAGAUGCUUAGAAUACUGUUAAGUGACUCUGAUCGAAAGCAGUAACAACGAAUAAUUUUGUUUUCUUUUUCAGUGAGCUCCGUGAGUGUCCUAAUAGGACAGGCUUUGUAAGGUCGGCUUGAUAAAAAAGAAUAUGCGAAACAUGAUGGUUGCAUAUGUUGUACCCACAUUGGGGGGGCCCAGUGGGAGAAGAACAAUGUAGCAUGUACUGUUUAAUAAAAUGGGAGUUUGGAGUUAGCAAA